GUGCCGUUUAUCUACGUUUCUUGGAUUUCAGUUCGCGUCUUGAAGCCUUCGCGUCUCGAACGUUGUUCUUCACGUUUUCUGCAUUUCAAACAAGACGUGGAGUUCUCGCGCAUGGAGCAUGGCAAAGGAGGAGGUUUAGGUUCGGUUUUGGUAGAGAGGAAAUGCAAGUUUCGGUGCCCAGGCGCGACCUCCAUCCUUAUUGCGCGUGGUGGGUACCACGGCGGUGACGUCUUCACGGCGCGGGGAUGGGCUUCGCUAGAUAGGGGAGGUACAUGUUUCGACCAUGGUGUUUGUAUGCAAGAGCAACAAUUGAUCACUAGAACAUUAUGAUGAUCGAGUUUAAUUAAGACAAUAAAGAUUUUUAUCUCAACAUGAAACUUUGCUCUGUUAUCUUCACAUGAAAGGCUUCAGAGGAAUGAAAAGAUUUACUUUUAGAACAUAUUUCAAUUACAAUAUAUAGGAUUCGUACGUACUUCAUUUCUUUGGUAACACCUAGAAUAAUAUUAAAGUCAACAGUUCUAGACAGAUUUGUAUUAAUGUAAAGUUUCAAACUUACCCCUACUUAUGAUCUUGGUGUCAAAAGUUUCAUCCAUAAAGCUAUCUUCCCUUCUCUUUUACUUAAAUAUUUUUAAUUAAUUUUUUUAAUCUCUUAUUGAUUAGCUCCUUCAUCUUCUACCCAGAUUAAUUAUAUUAUUUUUGUAUGCAAGGGCUUUACAAGGAAACUAAGAUGAAGUUGGUGUAAGGUGUGCAAACGGUGGGUGGUAGGAAGGUUUGGGAAGCAGUGGUUGGAUAUCCAGGGAAACUUUAGGUAAUCAUUUGCUUUCAGGACGCAAAAGAUCAUUGUAGGUAGGUGUCAUUUCUUUCCUUAUUUGAGAAUAUGAUUAAGUC